rnacentral:rRNA from 1 species
AACAUUUCUUUUAGAUUUGAUUAAAAGUAAAGUCUGCCCACUGUUUAGUAUGAAGGGCCGCGGUAUUUUGACCGUGCAAAGGUAGCAUAAUCAUUAGUCUCUUAAUUGGGGAAUGGUAUGAAUGGCUAAAUGAUUUUUUUCUUUUAUUAUUAUUUAUUUAUAAUUUUGAUUUUAAGUGAAAAUACUUAGAUGAUUUAAUUAGACGAUAAGACCCUAUAGAAUUUUAUUUUCUUUUUAUAUCAAUAUAAAAUUUAAGUUUAAAUGGGGCAUUUUAUGAAUAUACAUAAUUUCUUUUUAAAAUAUUUUAAAAUAUCUUAAAUUAAAGAUUGUAAAAAAAUUACCUUAGGGAUAACAGCGUAAUUUUUUUUAAGAGUUCAUAUCGACAAAUUAGAUUGCGACCUCGAUGUUGAAUUAAAAUACCUAUAUGGAGCAGAAUUUAUAUAAGGUAGUCUGUUCGACUAUAAAACUUUUACAUGAUUUGAGU